AGAUGUGUUUAUUUUGGAGCCUACACCAGCGCCUUUUUUGUUUGCUCUUUCCGGCAAUUCCCCAGUGAGGAAGCCCCUGGAGGAAAGUCUUUCGCUACCGUCGGCACUGGAGGGGUGAGAGCUGUAAAAGGGAGAAUUGGGAACGGCAUGGGGUUGGCCACUCCAGCACUUGAGCAGCUUUCUUCUGCGUUAGGAAGCCUGGGGAGAGGGGAACUGGCUAAAGGGCAAAAUGUCACUGAGGAACUUCGGAGAAGAUGGGGACAAGGCGUCGGGCGGGGGAGCCAGCGCUCAGGAGCCCAGGCACCAUACUGUCUUUUCGAGGUAUGGUGCUGGGUGCAGAUGCAGUGUGGCUCUGGAUAGCACCUUAUGGACAGUUGUGUCCCCAAGGAAGGAUGAGAAUAGCUACUGAAGUCCUAAAGAGCAAGCCUAACUCAAGCCAUUGGCACACAGGCAUUAGACAGAAAGCUGGAAGUUGAAAUGGUGGAGUCCAACUUGCCUGGACCAGCUUAAUGGUUCUGCUCCUGGUAACGUUUUUAUCCAUGGAUGACUUGCUUGGGUAUGGAGAGUCGGCUUGACUACACUGUGUGGAGCAAGUUUUAAAGAAGCAAAGGACUCAGAAUUCAUGAUUGAAGAAAUGCAGGCAGACCUGUUAUCCUAAACUAGGGUUUUUAAUGACCACAACAAGCAAGCAUGCAGCUUACUGCUUGAAAGGGUCUUGCCUCACCCAAGCUAGAGUGCAGUGGCCUUUGAAGCUUACUACAGCCUCAAACUUCUGGGCUCAAGUGAUCCUCAGCCUCCCAGUGGUCUUUGUAGACUGCCUGAUGGAGUCUCAUGGCACAAGAAGAUUAAAACAGUGUCUCCAAUUUUAAUAAAUUUUUGCAAUCCA
rnacentral:lncRNA from 1 species